AGUAGAGCAGUGUUAGGGCACUUGGGUUUUUGAUGCUCAAAGGGGUUUUUCAAUAAGAUUCUUUACUG
rnacentral:tRNA from 1 species